GAAGGUUACCGGUAACGGUUGCUGGAGCGUAUGGAAGUGAAUAUGCGGGCUUGAGUAACGAUAAUGCAGGUGAGAAUCCUGCACGCCGUAAGUCUAAGGUUUCCUGGGGAAGGUAAAUCCGCCCAGGGUUAGCCGGGUCCUAAGGCGAGGCCGAAAGGCGUAGUCGAUGGAUAGCAGGUUAAUAUUCCUGCGCACAUACAAAGAUCAAAGCAUAGUGCGGAUCUGUGAGCUCACCAGGACUGUUAGAUGUCCAGGCCCUCGGGCCGUUGAUGGGGGAUCGGGUUCCUAGAAAAGCUAUGUGGGCGAUGUAUGUCCCGUACUAAAACUGACACAGGUAGACGAGGCGAAUAGCCUCAGGCGCUCGAGAGAAUGGUCGUGAAGGAAUUAGGCAAAUUAACUCCGUAAGUUCGCGAUAAGGAGGCCCUUCGGGGCGCAGAGAAAAGGCCCUGGCAACUGUUUAUCAAAAACACAGCACUGUGCUAACUCGCAAGAGGAUGUAUACAGUGUGACGCUUGCCCAAUGCCCGAAUGUCACGGAAGCUGGUUAGCAUUAUGCGAAGCUAGUAACCUAAGCACGGGUCAAUGGCGGCCGUAACUAUGACGGUCCUAAGGUAGCGAAAUUCCUUGUCGGGUAAGUUCCGACCUGCACGAAUGGUGUAACGAUCUGGGCACUGUCUCAGCCACGAGCUCGGUGAAAUUGUAGUAGCGGUGAAGAUGCCGCUUACCCGCAACGGGACGAAAAGACCCCGUGAACCUUUACUAUAGCUUCACAUUGGUAUUGGGUAAAUGAUGUGUAGGAUAGGCGGGAGACUUUGAAGCUGCAUCGCUAGGUGUGGUGGAGUCGUUGGUGAAAUACCGCCCUUUAUUUAUCUGAUGCCUAAUCCAUUACUGGAGACAGUGUGUGGUGGGUAGUUUGACUGGGGUGGUCGCCUCCAAAAGAGUAACGGAGGCUUUCAAAGGUACCCUCAGUACGCUUGGUAACCGUACGUAGAGCGCAAUAGCAUAAGGGUGCUUGACUGUGAGGCCUACAAGCCGAUCAGGGUCGAAAGACGGAUAUAGUGAUCCGGUAGUUCCGCAUGGAAGGGCUAUCGCUCAAAGGAUAAAAGGUACUCCGGGGAUAACAGGCUGAUCUCCCCCAAGAGCUCACAUCGACGGGGAGGUUUGGCACCUCGAUGUCGGCUCAUCGCAUCCUGGGGCGGUAGUACGUCCCAAGGGUUGGGCUGUUCGCCCAUGAAAGCGGUACGCGAGCUGGGUUCAGAACGUCGUGAGACAGUUCGGUCCAUAUCCGGUGUAGGCGUUAGAAUAUUGAGAGGAGCCUUCUCUAGUACGAGAGGACCGAGAAGGACGUACCUCUGGUGUACCAGUUAUCGUGCCAACGGUAAACGCUGGGUAGCUAUGUAUGGAGUGGAUAACCGCUGAAAGCAUCUAAGUGGGAAGCCCACCUCAAGAUAAGUAUUCUCAUCACGUAAGUGAGUAAGGUCACGGUAAGACUAACCGUUUAAUAGGCAUUAAGUAUAAGUGUAGUAAUACAUGAGCUGAGAUGUGCUAACAGACCGAGGACUUG
rnacentral:tRNA from 14 species